GAUGAACGCUAGCGGCAGGCUUAACACAUGCAAGUCGAGGGGCAUCGGGAGGGAAGCUUGCUUUCCUUGCCGGCGACCGGCGCACGGGUGAGUAACACGUAUGCAACCUGCCCUCUUCAGGGGGACAACCUUCCGAAAGGGAGGCUAAUCCCGCGUAUAUCGGUUUCGGGCAUCCGAGAUCGAGGAAAGAUUCAUCGGAAGAGGAUGGGCAUGCGGCGCAUUAGCUUGACGGCGGGGUAACGGCCCACCGUGGCGACGAUGCGUAGGGGUUCUGAGAGGAAGGUCCCCCACACUGGUACUGAGACACGGACCAGACUCCUACGGGGGGCAGCAGUGAGGAAUAUUGGUCAAUGGGAGAGAUCCUGAACCAGCCAAGCCGCGUGAGGGAAGACGGCCCUAUGGGUUGUAAACCUCUUUUGUCGGAGAACAAAACCCGGGACGUGUCCCGGACUGCGUGUAUCCGAAGAAAAAGCAUCGCCUAACUCCGUGCCAGCAGCCGCGGUAAUACGGAGGAUGCGAGCGUUAUCCGGAUUUAUUGGGUUUAAAGGGUGCGUAGGCGGUCCGUUAAGUCAGCGGUAAAAUUGCGGGGCUCAACCCCGUCGAGCCGUUGAAACUGGCAGACUUGAGUUGGCGAGAAGUACGCGGAAUGCGCGGUGUAGCGGUGAAAUGCAUAGAUAUCACGCAGAACUCCGAUUGCGAAGGCAGCGUACCGGCGCCAGACUGACGCUGAGGCACGAAAGCGUGGGGAUCGAACAGGAUUAGAUACCCUGGUAGUCCACGCAGUAAACGAUGAAUGCUGGUUGUCCGGGUCGAAUGAGAUCUGGGCGGCGAAGCGAAAGCGAUAAGCAUUCCACCUGGGGAGUACGCCGGCAACGGUGAAACUCAAAGGAAUUGACGGGGGCCCGCACAAGCGGAGGAACAUGUGGUUUAAUUCGAUGAUACGCGAGGAACCUUACCCGGGCUCAAACGGGAGUGGAAUGGACCAGAGACGGUUCAGCCUACGGGCCGCUUCCGAGGUGCUGCAUGGUUGUCGUCAGCUCGUGCCGUGGGGUGUCGGCUUAAGUGCCAUAACGAGCGCAACCCCCGCCGGCAGUUGCUAACGGGCAAUGCCGAGGACUCUGCCGGGACUGCCGCCGCAAGGCGAGAGGAAGGCGGGGAUGACGUCAAAUCAGUACGGCCCUUACGUCCGGGGCGACACACGUGUUACAAUGGGCGGUACAGCGGGAAGCCAGGCGGCGACGCCGAGCGGAACCCGAAAGCCGUUCUCAGUUCGGAUCGGAGUCUGCAACCCGACUCCGUGAAGCUGGAUUCGCUAGUAAUCGCGCAUCAGCCAUGGCGCGGUGAAUACGUUCCCGGGCCUUGUACACACCGCCCGUCAAGCCAUGGGAGCCGGGGGUGCUUGAAGUGCGUCGCCGCGAGGCGCGCCCUAGAGCAAAACCGGUGACUGGGGC
rnacentral:rRNA from 1 species